GUACUCGCUUCAGCGGCACAUAUACUAAAAUUGGAAUGAUACAGAGAAGAUUAGCAUAGCCCUUGCACAAGGCUGACCCGCAAAUUCGUGAAGCAUUCCAUAUUUUU
rnacentral:snRNA from 1 species